rnacentral:lncRNA from 1 species
AAGAACCAGACUUUAUAACCCAACAAGAAAGAACCACUUGUAGUUCCCGUCCUCUUUCGGAUACGGCAGCGACACACUUCAUGCGUACAAACUACACCCCAAUAAAAGUCCUCCAACCAACACUCUAAUCUCAAAAGAUCUAGAGAUAAACGAAGUCAAUCCCAUCCGAGCCCACCGAAAACAUUAAGAAACCGACAGAAAUAGACAGGAAGCAUUCACUACCACAUCAAGAUAACUUGCAAGUAUAGAGACCAGACAACUAAAAGAGAUCCAUCAAUUCUCUGAACUUCAAGGAUAACAUAGAAUAGCAUAACAUAAAAACAUCCCAACAACAAUGGAAAAAAGUUGUUCUAAUCCACCUAAAACGAAAGUCUCCACAGAUCGAAGAGCAGAGAGAUCACGGGAAAACGAAAUCAAAAUAUGAUAAAGGAGCAGAACCUCUUCAGCACCAGUGAAUCCUCAACUGCAACCUUGUCACAUAUCCGCCAGAUCUGACCCAGAUCCAGUUAAAACCACACAAACCACCUCCAGUCUCGAGCUCCCUGCCUUCACGUCAUGGAAAAUAGCCUCGUCGGUGCUCCAGCUGUGUAGAAUAACAACUAGAACACAGAUAUAUCUCCAACAAGAGAAAUCUCCAGAGACACUAACAAGGAGACCAUGCCACAUAGAUAAAAGACAGAGGAGGAGCAGAGACCAAAACAACAAUUAAUCAAACAGAAGGGUGACCGGCGGAGUCUUUUUAUAACAUGUCCUCACCCAGUCUUUUUAUAACAUGUCUCAAAAGUCAUUUUAUAAUUAACAAAAUUUAAUCAGCAAAUAACA